AGGGGGACACAUGGCGGCGGGGCGGGGNNNNNNNNNNNNNNNNNNNNNNNNNNNNNNNNNNNNNNNNNNNNNNNNNNNNNNNNNNNNNNNNNNNNNNNNNNNNNNNNNNNNNNNNNNNNNNNNNNNGGGGGGGGGGGGGGGGGUAAAGGAUAAUUAGGGAGUGCAGGAUGGACAAGUGCACACAGCUGUAUUUAAAAUGGAUAAUCAACAAAGACCUACUGUGCACCACAGGGAACUCUGCUCAGUGUUAUGUGCCAGCUGGAUGGGAGGAGAGGGGCCUUUGGGGGAGAAUGGACACAUGUGUACGUAUGGCUUUGCCGCCCAUCUGAAAUUAUCACAACACUGUUAAUUGACUAUACUCAAUACAAAACAAAAAGUUUAAAACUAAGAAAUAAAAGGCAUGAGGUUCAGAAAGGAAGAAAAACAAUGAGCUGAAGUCCAGAGGUUUGUGGCGUGAUAUUUCCUGGUGUCAACUCACUGUUCUCAGUAGGAAAAUAGAGACGUUCCUCCCUUCCCACCCCAAACAAGGCUUUAGAUGGGGUGACCUUCACCUAACUUGACCCUGGGUCUUAACCUCCACAUGUGUUCCCCAAAGAUGCCUGGACUCCCACUCCAGAGCAGUCACAGGUGAACUAGGGGUUCAACAGCAACCACAGCUCAGAAAUGGUGAAAAUGUGAGGCAGCAUCCUGAGAAUUUAGGAUAAUAUGAAAAAUCCUUUUUUUUUUUUGAGGCCAAAUUUUACCUAGUGAUGAAUAAGUGAUGCUGUCUAAAUGCCACAAGUCACGUGAUCUGAAGACACAACAGGACCGCAGACACAGCUCGUGCCGCCGUGAAAUAUGCAAGCUAUUGUUGCGUGAGGAGGAUUCCGGUUCCGGAAGAGGAAACAGCACUGGCGUUGGAUUGUGGCAUGAUCUCAACAAGGAUGAACUUGAAACUCUCAUUUGAGGUACACACACAAAGUGAACACGUGAGUGCUGGAAGGAUCCUCAUAAGGCCUGACUCAUACUCGGACUGUGGCGAGAAGUGUUUGGUUCCCUUGGGAGGACAACACAGACAUUCGUACGGCACUCAGAGUUCAAGACUCAGAGUUCAAGACAUCCAGAGAUAUGUAAUCAUCUUUUCCCUAAAAGCCACAUACCUUAAUUACAUGUGGGAUCCGAUAAACUUCUCGAAAAUCAUUGCACAGAUAGAAACCCGUGGAUGUCAGGAAGACCAGUUACAUGUCCUGGACUAUAAGUACCCAUUUGGGAAACAAAUUGUUCCAGUCACCUUGAAAAACAGUUAGGCAUUAUCUUACAAAAUUAAACAUAACAUCUACCCUGGGCUCCAGCAGACCCAAGAGAAACGAAAAGAGAAGUCCUCACAAAGACCUGUAUGUGAAUGCCCUCAACAGCUUUAUUCCCUAUCACCCCAAACUGGAAACAUCUUUGACGUCCAUUAUCUGGUGAGUAAAGAAAGGCGAGUGGUGGUACGUUCGUACAGUGCAAAGCCACCCAGCAAUAACGAGGAACCGCCCUGACACCCACAAAGACAGGGACAAGCCCCAGACAGACUCUGCUAAAGGAAGGAAGCCAGGUGCAGAGACCGCACACGGUGUGACUCUGUGCAUGUAUUUCAUCUCUGGCCGUGCCGGGCCCUUGCCGCUGCGCCGGCUUUUCUCCAGGUGCGGCGAGGGCUUCCCUUCGUGACGGCUUCUCUUGUUGCGCUGGGCUCCAGUGUUGUUAGUCACUNNNNNNNNNNNNNNNNNNNNNNNNNNNNNNNNNNNNNNNNNNNNNNNNNCCUCUGUCCAUGGGAUUCUCCAGGCAAGAAUACUGGAGUGGGUCGCCCUUCUCUUCUCCACGGGGUCUUUCUGCCCCAGGGAUUGAACCCAGGUCUCCUGCAUUGCAGGCAGAUUCCUAACCAGAGCCGCCAGGGAGGCCCCUAUCUGAAGUUCUAGAUAAGGCAAAACCAUUGAGAUAGGAAACAGACCACGGGUUUCUGGGGCCAAGGGGUGGGGGUGGCUACAAUGAGAUGGAAAGGGAGGCUUUGGGUGAUGGGGCCAGUGGUGGUGAUCACGCUCGGGCGAGUCUGACUCUAUGCGACCCCACAGACCUAGCCCGCCAGGCCCCUCCGUCCGUGGGAUUCUCCAGGCAAGAAUGCUGGAGUGGGCUGCCAGGCCCUCCUCGAUGCCCACCCAGAGGUCGAGGCUGUGUCUCUGACAUCUCCUGAAUUGGCAGGUGGUUUCUUCACCACGAGGGCCACCUGGGAAGCCACACAACCACACAUAAUUACCAACACUCAUUAAGGGUGCCUUAACUUUCACAUGGAGAAGGAAAUGGCAGCCCACCCCAGUACUCUUGCCUNNNNNNNNACGGACAGAGGAGCCUGGCGGGCUACAGUCCACGGGGUCGCAAAGAGUCGAACACGACUGAGCGGCUUCACUAUCUUUCACACAAACCUUAUCUCAAUACCUUUAAAAGUUCCUCACCUCCGUUCCAUAAAAAAUUCAGUCUACAUCUCAGCCCCUGUCCUUCUUUACUGAACAUGCUGUCUGCACCUCUGUUCCGGCAAAAGUUUGUGGUUACAUGGAAUCAGAGGCCAGGAGGGAUUCCAUGGUAUCCCAUCACUUCUAGAACAAGGGGGUCUGUAUCAGGACACAUCAUCAGAAAGCCAGAACGCGACCCAUAACCUGGACUCUGGGACAUCCGUGGAGAAACAAACAGACAGAUAUAAAGCAUUCCACCCUGGACAGAUGCAUUCCAUCCCCCACAGGGGAGAGGACCCCACAGAGGACAGGUUCCCCAGGGGGAAACAUCGCCCAAAGGAUCAACCCUGUGAGUUCCCAGACAGCCCAAGAAAGGCCAGUGUGAUGGUUAGAGAUUACCCAGAAAUAAAACGAAGGACCCCUGAUGAGCCAUGAGCAUCCGUCCUUCAAGGGAGAAAGAUGAGUCUGUGAGAGUCAGAAGGAAGGAACACUGCAGACGUGAGUACAGACGUGUGUCACCCUGCAGGGUCUAGCCAGAUUCUAGAGGACCAAAUUUCUCUUUCUUCCUCACUAGAAAACAAACCAGGAAGCUGCUUCUUUGGGGAACAAGCGAUGAAGGUCAUCUGUGUUAUUCUGUCAAAUGGACACAUGCCCUGAGCCUGGGAAAAUUCUUGACCAGGCAUGCAAGGCACCCACAGUCGGUGUUUGCAGGUCAGCAAACUGACCACACUCCCUUCCCCAACCCCACUGUCCUGGAAAGGUGUUGGGCAAACCCAGGAUGAUCAGCACCACCCCCUGACAUGCCAGCUGUGGCUGCCAGUUUCUGUGAAAUAACAAAGACAUCAUCCCAGAUUCUCUUAAAGCCAAAACCCCAAAUAACACCAACCAUGCCACAGCUGUGCCCAGAUUAAAGGUUGCAACGGCCAGGCAUGAAAGGCCCAUGGGGGCUCCCCCAGCCGUGGCCCUCAGUCUCUGCUGAACGCUGCCCACAUUCCCCAUUUCACAAGCCACAAGAAGGUGCCGGACCGUUUGCAACCAAACUCCAACGAGUUUGCACAAAUAGAGGAGGCUAGCUAACGCUCCGACUCAGCAAAGCAGCCUUCGAGUUUCUCAGGCUCCUGGUCAGACGAGCUGACCUCACUUUCGGUCCUUCUUCCUCCCAAGGGUUGUGCUUCUCAUCUUUGGGAGGGAGGCAGGUUCUCCACACUCAGUAAUCCUUCCAAGAGAAGAAAAGGCCGGGCAGACCCUGCCCAUGCUGAGUUUAGAAGAAACGCCAUGACAAAGAGGAGACAGAAACUACAGGGGAAAGUGGGCAGGGCCGUUAGCUCCUGAGUGGCCAAAUGGGAUCAGCAUCGGUCAUUCUCUCCUGCCUUCCACACCCAUAGAUACAACGAGUUUGCAUUUUAAAUCACCUGCCCCAGAAGUGAACUUCUCUCCGGCAAAAGGAGCGUCUCUAACACCAGCAAGUGUAUCUCAGAACUAUGAGCAAAUGAGGACUUCCCUGGUGGUCCAUGUGCCUAAGACACCCGAGCUCCCAGUGCAGGGGGCCCAAGUUGGAUACCUUGUCAAGGAACGAGAUCCCACAUGCCACAACCAAGAGUCAGCAUUAAGCACCCUGCGUGCUUUAACUGAGACCUAGUGCAGCGAAANNNNNNNNNNNNNNNNNNNNNNNNNNNNNNNNNNNNNNNNNNNNNNNNNNNNNNNNNNNNNNNNNNNNNNUAAGCUGCAAAGAGAAAAAAAAAAAAAAAGACCAGAAACCUGAAUUAAGUAGAGACAGGAGACCAGAAGAGGGCGCCCUCAUAGCCUGCAGCCGCAGCAGAACCUGACGGAAGCACAAGGACACCUCUUCGUUCCUAGGCGCAGCUUAGGGGGUGAAAAGCCACAGACUCCUAUUUAUUAUAAGCAUGCCAACUGCCUCUUCACUUUUAUGUGUGGCUCACCGUGGUUGCAAACCCCAAAUUGCAAUUCUCUGCAAUAAACUCAUUUUUGCUGGAGAAAUAUCUGGCCGUCUAUUUCUGAUCAACAGAACUAGUGCCAAAGACAGAGGUUGACUGACCAGGACUUGGGAUGCACGUGCUGUGGGAAGCCAUGGCAAAAAUGAGCUGUCCUCACAGCCCCCAGGCCUGCUCCUUACAGCCCCUCAGGCCUGCUCCUCAAGACCCCCGGG
ensembl:lncRNA